rnacentral:rRNA from 1 species
UAACUGAAGAGUUUGAUCAUGGCUCAGAUUGAACGCUGGCGGCAGGCUUAACACAUGCAAGUCGAGCGGGGGAAGGUAGCUUGCUACUGGACCUAGCGGCGGACGGGUGAGUAAUGCUUAGGAAUCUGCCUAUUAGUGGGGGACAACAUCUCGAAAGGGAUGCUAAUACCGCAUACGUCCUACGGGAGAAAGCAGGGGAUCUUCGGACCUUGCGCUAAUAGAUGAGCCUAAGUCGGAUUAGCUAGUUGGUGGGGUAAAGGCCUACCAAGGCGACGAUCUGUAGCGGGUCUGAGAGGAUGAUCCGCCACACUGGGACUGAGACACGGCCCAGACUCCUACGGGAGGCAGCAGUGGGGAAUAUUGGAC